ACGAGCCGAAAAUCGCACCUAUCAGAAUUAAAGUCCGCACCAACAAUCCAAAUCUCUAGACUCCAAGCAUGCAGUCUGAACUGGUUAAGCUUCGCAUGGAGAUAGCCCAGCUUCGCCAGGAGCUUGCUGACGUUGCUUUGCAGGUUGAAGUAUCAGUUGCCUCACAUGACACUAAGACUGAUAUACUGAAUGAUGAGAUCGCCGACCUCUGACGCCAGAUCGCAGAGCUUCGAGGAUACAAAGUCGAGGAGACUCCACCAUACCCUGAGCAUUGAC
rnacentral:lncRNA from 1 species